rnacentral:rRNA from 1 species
UGGGGAAUAUUGCACAAUGGAGGGAACUCUGAUGCAGCGACGCCGCGUGAGUGAUGAAGGAAUUCGUUUCGUAAAACUCUGUUCUAUGGGAAGAAAAGGACUGUACCAUAGGAGAAAGCUCCGGCUAAAUACGUGCCAGCAGCCGCGGUAAUACGUAUGGAGCGAGCGUUGUCCGGAAUUAUUGGGCGUAAAGGGUGCGCAGGCGGCUUUACAAGUUGGAUGUGAAAUAUUGUGGCUCAACCACAAACGUGCAUCCAAAACUGCAAAGCUUGAGUUAAGGAGAGGUAAGGGGAAUUCCGGGUGUAGCGGUGGAAUGCGUAGAUAUCAGGAGGAAUACCGGUGGCGAAGGCGACUUACUGGACUUAAACUGACGCUCAGGCACGAAAGCGUGGGGAGCAAACAGG